UACGAAGGUGGCAAGCGUUGUUCGGAUUUACUGGGCGUACAGGGAGCGUAGGCGGUUGGAUAAGCCCUCCGUGAAAUCUCCAGGCUUAACCUGGAAAGUGCAGAGGGGACUGUUCAGCUAGAGGAUGGGAGAGGAGCGCGGAAUUCCCGGUGUAGCGGUGAAAUGCGUAGAGAUCGGGAGGAAGGCCGGUGGCGAAGGCGGCGCUCUGGAACAUUUCUGACGCUGAGGCUCGAAAGCGUGGGGAGCGAACAGG
rnacentral:rRNA from 1 species